AUGCCCACCAGGAACUCAAAACACAACUUGUGACUGCAUCACUUUACAGUAACUUCUGUUUCUCCUACGCUGACUUGUCCUUGAACAAAACAUUAAUGUCCCUGGUGACCGGUGACCCGAGGGGAAAUUCUUAAUGUACGCCUUUAUGUUUUUGUGGUCGGAGCCGAAGAUGGAGCUGUGUAGGCUUCCUGCCAAACUCUACAGUGUCACAUGAGGGUCAUAAAUCAAAACUAUUAUGAGGUUUGUGUAAUGGUACAGUACCAGCGGUUAUGGAGAGUCGAUGGAGGAGACAGAUUUGAUUCAGCUUGUGUUCUGUCAUGCUGCUGAUGCUGGUGUGGUUGUUGGUGGCCUGGUGGUCAGACAGACUGUCCUUCAAACAGAGGACCACUGUACAAACCCGCUGUAUCAGCAAAUAUUCAGCCUGUGGAAAUACAACCAAGGUCGUUACUUAAGAGGCAGAGAGACCAAUUUCUCCAUGGACAGCUGUCUCAGUAUAAUACUGUUGUUGCAGUAUAGCAACAACAAACAAGAGAACAUGCUGCAGCUGCAGCUUU